CCUACGGGAGGCAGCAGUGGGGGAUAUUGCACAAUGGGGGAAACCCUGAUGCAGCGACGCCGCGUGUGGGAAGACGGUCCUCUGGAUUGUAAACCACUGUCCCCAGGGACGAAGAUGACGGUACCUGGGGAGGCCGCUCCGGCUAACUACGUGCCAGCAGCCGCGGUCAUACGUAGGGAGCAAGCGUUGUCCGGAAUUACUGGGUGAAAAGGGAGGGUAGGCGGGGUGGCAAGUUGGGUGUUAAAUCUACCGGCUCAACUGGUAGUCGCACUCAAAACUGCUAUUCUUGAGAGAAGUAGAGGCAGGCGGAAUUCCUAGUGUAGCGGUGAAAUGCGUAGAUAUUAGGAGGAACACCAGUGGCGAAGGCGGCCUGCUGGGCUUUUACUGACGCUGAGGCUCGAAAGUGUGGGGAGCAAACAGGAUUAGAUACCCCAGUAGUC
rnacentral:rRNA from 1 species